UGGGGAAUAUUGCACAAUGGGUGCAAGCCUGAUGCAGCCAUGCCGCGUGUAUGAAGAAGGCCUUCGGGUUGUAAAGUACUUUCAGUCGGGAGGAAGGUGGUAAGGUUAAUAACCUUAUCAAUUGACGUUACCGACAGAAGAAGCACCGGCUAACUCCGUGCCAGCAGCCGCGGUAAUACGGAGGGUGCAAGCGUUAAUCGGAAUUACUGGGCGUAAAGCGCACGCAGGCGGUUGAUUGAGUCAGAUGUGAAAUCCCCGGGCUUAACCCGGGAGUUGCAUCUGAUACUGGUCAGCUAGAGGCUUGUAGAGGGGGGUAGAAGUCCAUGUGUAGCGGUGAAAUGCGUAGAGAUGUGGAGGAAUACCGGUGGCGAAGGCGGCCCCCUGGACAAAGACUGACGAUCAGGUGCGAAAGCGUGGGGAGCAAACAGG
rnacentral:rRNA from 1 species